UACAGAGGGUGCGAGCGUUAAUCGGAAUUACUGGGCGUAAAGGGCGCGUAGGCGGAUGAAUAAGUUGGGUGUGAAAGUCCUGGGCUUAACCUGGGGAUUGCAUUCAAUACUGUUUGUCUGGAGUGAAGUAGAGGGUGGCGGAAUUCCCGGUGUAGGGGUGAAAUCCGUAGAUAUCGGGAGGAACACCAGUGGCGAAGGCGGCCACCUGGACGGUGACUGACGCUGAGACUCGAAAGCGUGGGUAGCAAACAGG
rnacentral:rRNA from 1 species